CACGUAGGGCGCAAGCGUUGUCCGGAAUUAUUGGGCGUAAAGAGCUCGUAGGCGGCCAACUAAGUCAGACGUGAAAUCCCUCGGCUUAACCGGGGAACUGCGUCUGAUACUGGAUGGCUAGAGGUUGGGAGAGGGAUGCGGAAUUCCAGGUGUAGCGGUGAAAUGCGUAGAUAUCUGGAGGAACACCGGUGGCGAAGGCGGCAUCCUGGACCAAUUCUGACGCUGAGGAGCGAAAGCCAGGGGAGCAAACGGG
rnacentral:rRNA from 1 species